rnacentral:rRNA from 1 species
CAGUCGCCGCGGGAAUACGUAGGUGGCGAGCGUUGUCCGGAUUUAUUGGGCGUAAAGGGAGUGUAGGCGGUCUUUUAAGUCUGAUGUGGAAGCCCACGGCUCAACCGUGGAGGGUCAUUGGAAACUGGGAGACUUGAGUGCAGAAGAGGAGAGCGGAAUUCCAUGUGUAGCGGUGAAAUGCGUAGAUAUAUGGAGGAACACCAGUGGCGAAGGCGGCUCUCUGGUCUGUAACUGACGCUGAGGCUCGAAAGCGUGGGGAGCAAACAGGAUUAGAUACCCCGGUAGUCCCUGUCUCUUAUAC